CUGGGAACUUUUUACUGAUGGUAGUAGUUUUGUGGAGAAUGGAACAUGAUAUGAAGGGUAUGCAGUAACAACCCUGAAAACGGUAAUCGAAGCAAAACCUUCACCACCUGGAACAUCGGCACAGUGAGCGGAACUGAUAGCUCUAACUUGAGCACUGGAACUGAAUAAAGGAAAGAUAGUAAAUAUUUGGACAGAUUCAAAGUAUGCCUUUGGAGUGGUCCACGUUCAUGGAGCAUUAUAGAAAGAAAGAGGGUUGUUUUCCUCACAAGGGGCCAAUAUAAGAUAUCAAGAGGAGGUGUUAAAUUUGAUAAAUGUGGUACAAAAAACAAAACAAGUGACUAUUAUGCACUGUAAAGCCCAUCAAGGAGGAACCUUGAAGAUAUCAGAAGGGAAUCAGUUGGCAGAUCGAGCAGCUCGACAUAUUGCUCAGAAGGUGUGGAAUGUGAUGGCUUUGGUACCACUCAAGGUAGGCCCCACUCGUCUUAAUCUUCCCAAGGAACCAAGAUAUUCACCAGAGGAUGAGAAAUUAGCAAAUCUAUAGGCCCAAAAGAACUCUGAUGGAUGGUAUGUAACUGCUAUGGGCCAGGUAGUAAUACCCCCCUUGGUGAUGCGAGAAAUACUUCAGACAAGGCAUAAUGAGUGUCACUGGAGUGCAGAGGCAAUAGUAACAUUUCUAAAAUGUAGCAUUAUCUCUACACAUAUGUUAACAAUGGCAAAAUCAGUCAUGUCAAAGUGUGAGAUUUGUCUGAAAAAUAAUCCAGUAGCGAGAAAACAUGCUGAAAUGGGAAGAGUCAGAAUAGGAAUAGAACCAGGAGAUUACUGGCAAGUUGAUUUUAUAGAGUUACUUAGGACUAGGGAAAUGAUUUAUAAACUUACAGGACAAGUAGGCUCGUGAGAGCCAUGAAAGAAGGCUUUAGAGAUUUUAAUAUCCAACUACAAGCUACAACUAAAAUGGUUCUACAAAAUCGAUGGGCAUUAGAUACACUGUUAUUAAAGGAACAUGGGUGUAUGGAUUUCUAAAAGAUCGCAUUGAUCAUUGCUGCAUCCACAUACCAAAUGUGACUAUUGAUGUAGAACAUGACACAGAACGGCUGGCUAGAGUGGAACAAGAUGCAGAACAGGAAGAGAAAGAUAUGACAACAAGCUGAUUGGAUAAAAAUUUUAGCAGAUGGAAUAUUAGUAAUUGGGCUAAAUCCUUACUGGAAACGGUAAUUAUAUUGGUAAUUGUAGGGGUAUUAAUUUGGUUAACAUUGGUAAUGCUGAAAAGUCUGAUCCUAAAGAAGACAACAUGGAACCAGAAAGUGAUGCAGACCAUUGCUCGGCAAAUGGAACCACAUCCUCAAUACCCUCCGCCGGCAUAUGACAAUUUUGGAUUUCAGAGAGAACCUGAGGAAUCCAGGGGUUAAAGAUGGCAUCCACUCCAGAUUAAAUGAACCCAAUCAGGAAGGCAAAUACGACAUAAAGCAGAAGUAGUGGAUUUCAGAUUUACGGAAUGUUGUGACAACCCUAAUCUUUGUAAUUUUCUUGAUUAUGUUAUUGGUGUGUGCUGAGUGUGAGACAUUUUAAUUAGUUAGUGAAAGCAUUUGCCCUCCUUGAAGGAGUGAAAUACUUUCAAAGGGGGGAAAUGUUGGUAGAUGUUAACAUAGCAACAGGUGUCUUGGUAGUGAAACCAGUACUGCUACUAGCAUAAAUGCUCGAUUUGAUCUAAACAAAGGAUAGUUAAGAAAAUAUUAUGGGUACCUGGGAGAUUAUUGCUAGGUGAAUGAAUAGUUUGGAAACUAAGGUCAAACCAACCUUACAGUUUGGACUGAGACCAAGGGCUCAGAGAGCAUGUGCAAGAAGAUGAGGUAAAAAGUCCAACUCUGAUGAAGACAUCUUGCUUCAUCUGGACGACCACCAGAGAGUACUACACAAGCACAGAAGGACUGAUAAGAUAAUUAGCAUACGAAGUGGGGCUAGGCGGAGCUAGGAAAUGAAUACGCAUAGAUGUGUUGCAAAACUUAAUGCAUAUGUAAUAUUUUAGGGUAUAAAAGAGAACGUGAGUGAACAAAUCGGACAAAAUUAGAUUUGGGCAGACAUGCCCCUAACUUCCGGCACCUAAUAAAAGCACCUUCAUAUAA